GCUAAUGUCCGGGAGGAGACGAGAGCCCCAAGAUCUGCAAAACGAGGACUGAGCAGAUCACCUCCACAUUUCUUCCACGCUACAAUUCUAUGAAUUGGAAAUAAGGAGACUUCAGUAGGAUCCAUACCAUAGAGUUGUGAGGGGUGAAUGAGAGAAGCCAUGUAAAGCAUGAAGCCCAGGAAUAGGAACAGUAAGCGUUUGAGAAUGGAAAUUGCUGUUACCAUUAUCAUCAACAAGAAGUGCAAAAAGUCCAUUUUCCUAAAAAAGAAAUUGUAUAUUUAUAGAAACCACAUUGUUUAUCAUUUAUGAUCAGUUUUAAAGACAUAAGAAGUUUUAAUAUUGGUGUCAAAUGUGAAUUUUCUUUAUUAAAAUAUAAAC